rnacentral:rRNA from 1 species
GAAGGUCACGGCGAGACGAGCCGUUUAUCAUUACGAUAGGUGUCAAGUGGAAGUGCAGUGAUGUAUGCAGCUGAGGCAUCCUAACAGACCGGUAGACUUGAACCUUGUUCCUACAUGACCUGAUCAAUUCGAUCAGGCACUCGCCAUCUAUUUUCAUUGUUAAAAUCUUUGACAACACGAAAAAACCAUUGUUCAACUCUUUGACAACAUGAAAAAACCAAAAGCUCUGCCCUCCCUCUCUAUCUAUCCAAGGGAUGGAAGGGCAG